CAAUUACAAGCAGAUGCAGAGACAGAUUAGCCAAUCGAAGAAGUGCUACUAUCUUCUUGAUUUGCCACUGCCAUGAACUGUUUUAGGAAUGCACACGAGCAAAUGUAAUGAGGAUUCCUAUAGGCCAUUAUCUCUUGAGAACGAAAAAUAAAACGCAGCGUUUCCUUCUGUGCAGUGAAGUUUAGAAGAGUUAAAAUAACGGAUUUAGCUUCCUUGGUAGCUGAAGAUUUUUGGACUGAAAAAUGCUUGCUCUCUCUGUGUGUGUGUGUGUGUGUGUGUGUGUGUGUGUGUGUGUGUUGCUUGCAAGCGAGUCACUGUUUCCUUGGCUACCACAACAAACAAGGCCACAAGCAGGUACUGGAGCCAGAAGAAAGAUAAAACUCUAAACUCUACUUGGCAAUUCCAAAGAGUGUGGAAAGAGCAACAGGAAGAAAAAUUAGAAAACAUCAAGGUAUUUGGUAUGGACACAUCUAGCUGAGACAUUUCUGUUUCUUUACCAUCUCCAAUGAGGAAACCAUGCCUAUUUCUUCAGGAGCUCAGGGACAGGUUGGAUUUGGAGUCGACACAUCCAUUCAAUGGCAUCCCAAAGGAGAUCAAACACUCUGUAUGCCACUAUCUUUCAAGGUUGACUCCUAUCGCCAGAGGUAAGCGGUCCGCUUGUUGUGCCUGGGAAAUAUUUCGCCCCAGACAAAAAUGGCACUUAAUUAAAAAGUGCUUUGAAAUGAGUGUCUUAAUGAAUAAGUUGCUGUCAUUUGUCACUUACGAAGCACCUAAAUAUUUAUAGGUGCUGUACGGAAAUUAAAGGACAGGACAGUCCCUGCCUGCAGGCACUCAAUCUAAAAGUCAAGGAGAGACUAGAGGAGACAAGAAUAGGGAGGGAAGAGGGAAGUAAACGAGUCCAGGCACUAAUUAUUGAAGUUACAUCAUCUCAGCAGUAUCAUCUGCCCUGGACGUGUGGCCCUCCCUCUCUUUUAAGCACACACACAAUCCAGCAGUUCUUACUAGUUACCUGACUGAUGGCUUCUCUUCAGUUUUGCAGUCUCAGAGCAACUGACAGCUGGAACCCAGUGUACAGUACUUUCUGGCAAGGAAGGGAGAAGGGCGUUCCUUGCAUCUGCUCCUUUUCUAGCCUACAGAUGGGGGCCGUGUUGGUCUCCAUAUUGCCACAAUGUUCUCCUUUGAGAGCUGGGGUGCUGUCUCUUGGUCCUCAAGUUGGGCAGAGCCUAUGAUGCCCUUCCCUUCAGUUCAGAGAGUGUUGCCACACCAAGUUACCACUAGAAUGUACAGAGCAAAACUAGGACAAUGAGGCAUUAAAUGACAUUGCAGCCUAAAUACAACAUCUAUGCUCCAUGUUCACGUUUUCUGCAGAUACUUACGCUGCCACCCUGAAGCCAAAAUCAGAUGUUUCACUCAGCACUCAGAAGUAAGUGGCACUCUUUGAGAAGAAAAAUGAUUGGUUUCACAUUUGCUUUGAAAACCUUUUAUUAUAAAUGUUAAGAAGUACAGUAAUGGAUGAGCAAUUCUUCAUACCCAAAUGUGCUGCAUUGCUUGCCCUCUGGUGGCAAGAAGGUGGAAAAUAUUAAGAGCAGGAAGUGGCCUGAAUACUGUAUGCUCUUUUUAAAAUGUACUGUACAUAAAUUGUUUCAGACUCUCUUUGCAUUCCACAGCCAUUUCACCUAUGUUUAUACUUUCUCUGUUUAAUAUUUCAUACACACAUCAGCCAACUAAGGAUAACACUUAAUAAAUCUGAUGAAGCAAAGUGAACACACACACACACACACACACACACACACACACACACACACAAAACGCAGGCCAGUUUCUGAUUUAAGAUUACUGCUCUUCCUACCCAUUGCUAGAUUGUUGCUAUCUAGUUAAUGCACUACAAAGUGGGGAUCCUCAGGCCCAGGAGCCAAAAGUGACCCUCAAGAUUAUCCCCGGGCCAUGCCCCAUUUCCCCAUACAGUGGUACCUCGGGUUACAUACACUUCAGGUUACAGACUCCGCUAACCCAGAAAUAUUACCUCGGGUUAAGAACUUUGCUUCAGGAUGAGAACAGAAAUCGUGCUCCGGCGGCACGACAGCAGCAGGAGGCCCCAUUAGCUAAAGUGGUGCUUCAGGUUAAGAACAGUUUCAGGUUAAGAACAUACAUCCAGAACGAAUUAAGUACUUAACCUACGGUACCACUGUAUCUUAAUACCUACUUUAAUACCCCAGUCACCCACUACUGUACUUGUUGACCUGAUUCUAUGUCCUCCUUGGGUGCUUUUACCUAGCUGGAAUGCGUCUUGUAUGUGCGUGUUCAUGCACAUAUGCGUAAAAACCUCUGGCUUUUGCAUGGCUAGAAUUUAUCUUGCUUCUCAGUUCUGUUGCCUCUGACCCCAGCCACCACUGGCAGAAGGUAACUCACAAGGGAAUGUGACCUACUGAGGUGAAAAACACUCCCCACCGUGUUUUAGCUCUGCCUUACAAUUCCUAUUCUUUGACCAUUUUAUCUUUUAUUUACUAUUUUAUUAUUACGUUGUACAUUACUUUUGGGAGACAAAAUGCCCCAUGGUGACCUCACUGAAGGCUGCAUCUCAAAGUUGAUGUGGCAAAAACUUUCUUUUUAUAGGACACAUUUUGGUGAGAUAAGGUGGUGACACAAAAACCUUUUGUCAUAGCACCUGCAGGAGCAGCCAGUAAUACAUAUUUAAAUCUGAAAAUGGGAGAAUGUGUGAAAUCUUGACUAGUCAGAGAAAGCACCUCUUGAAAUCACAGCAAGAAAUCUACAUAUUAUUUUUAAAAUUACAACAUUUUGGAGGGGCCCUUGGGGAAUCACAAAAAACUGUCCCCAUGGUAUUACAGCAGGGGACCUAUAGAAUCAGUCAAUAUCUUCAACCAACCAACCAACCUGAAAGAUCCUUUCAAAUUAGGAAAAAGGACUUGCAGGCCACAAAACACUCCAAGGGUGUCAGAUACGGCUCAUGUGCUGUGGCUUAGCCAUUACGUUUUAAAACACUGAUUUUCCUUAAGGAUUUUUCCAACGCAGGCACAAAGCCACAGCCUGCCUGUGGGAAACCACUUUCUCCAAAGCAGGGGUCUGCAAACUUUUCCAGCAGGGGGCUGGUCCACUGUCCCUCAGACCUUGUGGGAGGCCGGACUAUAUUUGGGGAAUGAACAAAUUCCUAUGCCCCACAAAUAACCCAGAGAUUCAUUUUAAAUAAAAGCACACAUUCUACUCAUGUAAAAACACCAGGCAGGCCCCACAAAUAACCCAGAGAUGCAUUUUAAAUAAAAGGACACAUUCUACUAAAGACACGCUGAUUCCUGGACUGUCUGCGGGCCGGAUUUAGAAGGCGUUUGGGCUGGAUCCGGCCCCCGGGCCUUAGUUUGCCUACCCAUGCUCCAAAGGAACUAUCAAAAGGAGCAUCAUUGAUAUAUUAAGAAAAAAACCUACAUUCACCCACUUACUCGAAGCAGUCUUCCAAUUGCUAGAGGAUGUUAAUGUCCAGCAAUGCAAAAAUUAUUGGUUGAUAAAUAUCAACAUGGUAACAUGCAUUUAUUUAAAUUUUAUGGAUCUGUUUAAGAGCAGAUCAGUGGACACGUUUAUUUUCAAGGAAGUCAUAACAAAUUAUGUAACUUCUUAACAGGUGAAGAGACAGUGCAAAAAAAAUCAUUCAGGAUAUGCAGCACUCCAAAGUGGAAACCAUUUAACCAUUCCAGCCACCAAAAGUACAUUGCUUACCAGUGCAAAAACUGAAGGCACAAGCCACAGAAGGAAAGAUGGCAUUUCCAGAUUCUCGCUUUGUACCCUACUAUAAUUAUGAGAAUGUGAUGAAAUAGAAACUGUAUUUGAUAUUGCCACAUUAAAAAUGGAGAUAAAAAAGAAGC